UACGUAGGGUGCAGGCGUUAAUCGGAAUUACUGGGCGUAAAGCGUGCGCAGGCGGUCUGUUAAGAGAGGUGUGAAAUCCCCGGGCUUAACCUGGGAACUGCGCUUCUAACUGGCAGGCUGGAGUGUGGCAGAGGGGGGUGGAAUUCCACGUGUAGCAGUGAAAUGCGUAGAGAUGUGGAGGAACACCGAUGGCGAAGGCAGCCCCCUGGGCUAACACUGACGCUCAUGCACGAAAGCGUGGGGAGCAAACAGG
rnacentral:rRNA from 1 species